rnacentral:rRNA from 1 species
GACGAACGCUGGCGGCGUGCUUAACACAUGCAAGUCGAACGGAAAGGCCCUGCUUUUGUGGGGUGCUCGAGUGGCGAACGGGUGAGUAACACGUGAGUAACCUGCCCUUGAUUUUGGGAUAACUUCAGGAAACUGGGGCUAAUACCGGAUAGGAGCUCCUGCUGCAUGGUGGGGGUUGGAAAGUUUCGGCGGUUGGGGAUGGACUCGCGGCUUAUCAGCUUGUUGGUGGGGUAGUGGCUUACCAAGGCUUUGACGGGUAGCCGGCCUGAGAGGGUGACCGGCCACAAUGGGACUGAGGUACGGCCCAGACUCCUACGGGAGGCAGCAGUGGGGAAUAUUGCACAAUGGGCGGAAGCCUGAGGCAACAACGCCGCGGGCGGGAUGACGGCCUUCGGGUUGUAAACCGCUUUCGCCUGUGACGAAGCGUGAGUGACGGUAAUGGGUAAAGAAGCACCGGCUAACUACGUG